GGAUGUGGCUCAGGUGGUAGCUUGCUUGCCUAGCAUGCGAGAGGCACUGGGUUCGAUUCUCAGAACCA
rnacentral:tRNA from 1 species